AGUGAACGCUGGCGGUAGGCCUAACACAUGCAAGUCGAACGGCAGCACAGUAAGAGCUUGCUCUUACGGGUGGCGAGUGGCGGACGGGUGAGGAAUACAUCGGAAUCUACUUUUUCGUGGGGGAUAACGUAGGGAAACUUACGCUAAUACCGCAUACGACCUACGGGUGAAAGCAGGGGAUCUUCGGACCUUGCGCGAUUGAAUGAGCCGAUGUCGGAUUAGCUAGUUGGCGGGGUAAAGGCCCACCAAGGCGACGAUCCGUAGCUGGCCUGAGAGGAUGAUCAGCCACACUGGAACUGAGACACAGUCCAGACUCCUACGGGAGGCAGCAGUGGGGAAUAUUGGACAAUGGGCGCAAGCCUGAUCCAGCCAUACCGCGUGGGUGAAGAAGGCCUUCGGGUUGUAAAGCCCUUUUGUUGGGAAAGAAAAGCAGCAGGUUAAUACCCCGCUGUUCUGACGGUACCCAAAGAAUAAGCACCGGCUAACUUCGU
rnacentral:rRNA from 1 species